GUGAAGAACGUAGCGAAAUGCGAUAAGUAAUGUGAAUUGCAGAAUUCAGUGAAUCAUCGAAUCUUUGAACGCACAUUGCGCCCCUUGGUAUUCCGAGGGGCAUGCCUGUUCGAGCGUCAUUAUAACCCCUCAAGCUCAGCUUGGUGUUGGGGCCUGCUGCACUGGCAGCCCUUAAAAUCAGUGGCGGCGCCAUCUGGCUCUAAGCGUAGUAAUUCUUCUCGCUAUGGAGUCCUGGUGGAUGCUUGCCAUCAACCCCCAAUUUUUCUAUGGUUGACCUCGGAUCAGGUAGGGAUACCCGCUGAACUUAAGCAUAUCAAUAAGCGGAGGA
rnacentral:misc_RNA from 1 species